GAUGAACGCUAGCGGCAGGCUUAACACAUGCAAGUCGAGGGGUAUAGUUCUUCGGAGCUAGAGACCGGCGCACGGGUGCGUAACGCGUAUGCAAUCUACCUUUUGCAGAGGGAUAGCCCAGAGAAAUUUGGAUUAAUACCUCAUGGUAUGUGAGAAUGGCAUCAUUUUCACAUUAAAGUCACAACGGCAAAAGAUGAGCAUGCGUCCCAUUAGCUAGUUGGUAAGGUAACGGCUUACCAAGGCAGCGAUGGGUAGGGGUCCUGAGAGGGAGAUCCCCCACACUGGUACUGAGACACGGACCAGACUCCUACGGGAGGCAGCAGUGAGGAAUAUUGGACAAUGGGCGCAAGCCUGAUCCAGCCAUGCCGCGUGCAGGAUGACGGUCCUAUGGAUUGUAAACUGCUUUUGUACAGGAAGAAACACUGGUUCGUGAACCAGCUUGACGGUACUGUAAGAAUAAGGAUCGGCUAACUCCGUGCCAGCCGCCGCCGUAAGAC
rnacentral:rRNA from 1 species